rnacentral:lncRNA from 1 species
CCAUCUUUGGCUGGCUCCAAUGCAGAAACUGGUAGAAGGGCCAAGUUAGGGAAAACUGCUCAUAUUACAGAAGGGAGGAGCUGGGAGGGGAGAUACACUCUUCCAGGUCACACCCCUAGUGACCUGUCUCUCUCGACCAUAUCCCACCUUCUAACAGCAUGUCAGCUAUAGUGCUUCUGUAACCAAUCGCCAAACACAUGACACUUUGGGAGCCAUGACAGAUCAAAACUGUACCCACCUUAUGAAGAAGUGUAGUUGCAUAAAGAGGAAGACGUGCAGGCCGUUCUGGAAUGCCUCCUUCUUAUUGCACCAUGAGACCUGUUAUAAACAAAAUUUCACUUACAUCUCUUUGAGACUAUAUCAUAUCCAAAUGCAAAGAAAGAAGAGACUGCGAAGUGACCUCGAGACUGACUAUCCCUACUUCCUUAAUUUCUUGGACAGCUGCUAUCAUUUCACUUAGGAUAAUUUAUCUACUGUUGUCCAGAGAAACUGACACUAACACACACAAACCAAGAUGAGGACUUCCAAAAUCUCAAACCGUUUACAUCUGAUCCAAUACAGUGAAUAAUAUAGAAAUGUUUAAAAUAAGUUUUAUCAGAUUAUGAUACGCC